AGUUCUCUGUCAGGUUAUUAGGGUUUAUGUGAGGCAGAGGUGAUUCUGUGCAGUUGAGUUCCCUUCAGGGUUUGGAGGCUGCUCUGAGUUCUCUGUCAGGUUUCUCUCCAGGUUUUGUCCAGGGUUUUGUUCCAAGGAAACCUCCGAGUAUUUUGCUUCUCUUCCUUUUUCUGUCAUUUUUGUUUCAAUGAAACUCUAGUAUUUAUAGGCUAAUAUUGGUAGCUUAGUGGGCUUUUGAGAGAGGUCCAAGUUUGAGAUUUUUUCUUUUAUUUUAUUUAUUUAUUUAUUUAAUUUAUUUUUUUAUUUUAUUUUUUUUUAUUUUAUUUUUAUCUUUUUUUUUUCGUUUUACGUUUUUUUUUCCGUUUUUUUUUGUUCGUUUUUUUUUUAUAUUUUUUUUUAAAAUAAAGCUUCUUGGAUCUGAUUCUGAUUGACAUGAUGAAAUGCAAUGUAUCUAAUGUUAAAUGACCUAAAAAUGAAUGUGUGAAUAAGGAGGGCAAAUUUUGGGGUGUUACACACUCUACACCAGAAACUGAAAUUUGUGAAGAAUAAGAAAUUGGUAGUGGUAGGGGGAGAAAAGGCUCUCCUGGUUAGCCACUUGUCUUCCUUCUCAUAUAUAGAUGCUGAGGAUGAAGUUGGAACUCCUUUCCAAGCUUUAUCUAUAGCUGAGCCUAUUGAGAAG
rnacentral:lncRNA from 1 species